rnacentral:rRNA from 1 species
UAAUACGGAGGGUGCAAGCGUUAUCCGGAUUCACUGGGUUUAAAGGGUGCGUAGGUGGGCUAGUAAGUCCGUGGUGAAAUCUCCGAGCUUAACUCGGAAACUGCCGUGGAUACUAUUAGUCUUGAAUAUCGUUGAGGUAAGCGGAAUAUGUCAUGUAGCGGUGAAAUGCUUAGAUAUGACAUAGAACACCGAUAGCGGAGGCAGCUUACUAAGCGAUUAUUGACACUGAGGCACGAAAGCGUGGGGAUCAAACAGGAUUAGAUACCCUGGUAGUCCACGCCCUAAACGAUGGAUACUCGACAUACGCGAUACACAGUGUGUGUCUGAGCGAAAGCAUUAAGUAUCCCACCUGGGAAGUACGAUCGCAAGAUUG